UGGAGAAGGGGAGCACGUGCAAAGAGUUGCGUAAUAGCAUCGUAAAGAGUGCCAAAACAUGGGAUUUUGCACGUGCCCUGCUUCUCCAAC
rfam:Morus notabilis contig2220, whole genome shotgun sequence.